GUCCCUGUAGUGCAAUGGGUAGCGCGUUGGACUUCUAAUACAAAGGUCGGGGGUUCGAAUCCCACCUGGGAUG
rnacentral:tRNA from 1 species